rnacentral:RNase_P_RNA from 1 species
AUGGAUGGUCGGGCAGCCGCUCGCCAAGGCGAGAGGAAAGUCCGAACACCGACAAGCACUGUGCUUCCUAACGGGAAGUGCCGGGCAACCGGUAAGAAAGUGCCACAGAAAACAAACCGCCCCGGCGUUUAACGCCGGUGGCAAGGGUGAAAAGGCGAGGUAAGAGCUCACCGCUCCGAUGGUGACAUACGGAGGCACGGUAAACCUCACAGGGUGCAAGCUCAUGCAGGCAGUGCGUUGCUUGUCGCUAUACUGCCGGGUAGAGUGCGCAGGCUCUGGAGCAAUUCAGAGAUUAGAUAAAUGGUUGUCAUCCUGACUGCUGCAAUGGCAGACAGGAUACAGAAUUCGGCUUACAGACCAUCCCACGAU